GACGAACGCUGGCGGCGUGCUUAACACAUGCAAGUCGAACGGAAAGGCCCUGCUUUUGUGGGGUGCUCGAGUGGCGAACGGGUGAGUAACACGUGAGUAACCUGCCCUUGACUUUGGGAUAACUUCAGGAAACUGGGGCUAAUACCGGAUAGGAGCUCCUGCUGCAUGGUGGGGGUUGGAAAGUUUCGGCGGUUGGGGAUGGACUCGCGGCUUAUCAGCUUGUUGGUGGGGUAGUGGCUUACCAAGGCUUUGACGGGUAGCCGGCCUGAGAGGGUGACCGGCCACAUUGGGACUGAGAUACGGCCCAGACUCCUACGGGAGGCAGCAGUGGGGAAUAUUGCACAAUGGGCGGAAGCCUGAUGCAGCAACGCCGCGUGCGGGAUGACGGCCUUCGGGUUGUAAACCGCUUUCGCCUGUGACGAAGCGUGAGUGGCGGUAAUGGGUAAAGAAGCACCGGCGAACUACGU
rnacentral:rRNA from 1 species